rfam:Gorilla gorilla gorilla genomic chromosome, chr18, whole genome shotgun sequence
GCUGGGUGUGUUGUCGUGCGCCUGUAGUCCCAGCUAUUCAGGAAGCUGAGGCAGGUGGAUCACUUGAGCCCAGGAGGUGGAGGCUGCAGUGAGCUGUGAUAAUGCCACUGCACUCCAGCCUGGGCAACAGAGUGAGACCCAGUCUCCA